UGUCACAAACCGGCUUUAAUUUGAGUCGUGGCUUGCUGUGUGUGGGCCAGAUCUGGCCCAUGUGCGACAAAACGGCUUUAGUUUGAGUCGUGGCUUGCUGUGUGUGGGCCAGAUCUGGCCCGUGUGCGACAAACCGGCUUUAGUUUGAGUCGUGGCUUGCUGUGUGUGGGCCAGAUCUGGCCCGUGUGCGACAAACCGGCUUUAGUUUGAGUCAUGGCUUGCUGUGUGUGGGCCAGAUAUGGCCUAUACCAGGUGACCAGAUGUGCCAUUUUCUGAAGACACGUCCUGGCAGAUCACCUUACUUUACCAGUCAGUAGUUCUAAAACUAUUUUGAGUACUGGAUGCCCAUAAUAUUUCAGGACACGUAAUAUAAAUACAUACACACAUUUAUUUGACCUACACGGACCUGUUAUGAAGCUGCAAUGUUAUUCGAUUUUUUUAUAUUUUUGUACCAUGUCCUCUAGUGUGACACCAUGUCCUUUGAACUUUUUCGGAACCACUACAAAUUUUUUAUGCUUUGUUGUGCAUUAAUAUGACACCCCUAAAUUAUAUAUAUUUUUUUAUUAAAAAGUGCAUGUUAAGCUACAUAAUCCUAGAAAAUUUUCCAAAUAUGUCUUGCUUGCCACUAAUGACAGGUUAGCUUGGAUUAGCAAGGUCAUUAAUUGACAGAAAAGGCUGAAACGUCCUUUGGUGUGAUAAAAAAAAAAAAAAAAGUCCUCCAUUGUGACACCUGUGUCACACCACAGGACAAAGUUUCUUUAAAAAUAAUUUUAAAUAAUUAAAUAAUAUUUGUUUAACUCCUUUUUUAUACUUUUAAAUGCAAUAAUUACAUUCAUUAAAUUAAGCUCUAAUCAUCAAAAAAAAAAAUUAUGAAUCUUUAGAAUAUAUGACAAUUUCACUUUAAUGAACUUUUUUCAUGAUAUUCACAUUUCUUCAAGAUGCACCUUAUACACACACACACACACACACACACACACACACACACACACACACACACACACACACACACACAUAUAUAUAUAUAUAUAUAUAUACACACGCAUACAUACAUAUAUGAGUGUUCGUAAAAGCAACAAUACAAAAUCUUAAACUAUAAAAGUGCCACUUUGUCCCACUAUUAUGUGCAGGCCUGGCAUUUUGCACUGGGCUAUAGAACUACAAAAUGAAUUUUAAAUUACCAAUAUCACGAUUGAAUGACAUUUUGAAUUAUGUAGUGAUCUAAUUCUAUCCACCAAGAAAUUGUAUGUGAAUGUGUGAGACUUAUGGUCAUGGUUAUAGGGAAAUAUCAAGAAGAACUAAGUGCAGUAAACGGUAACUGUUUGCACUACAAACCAGUACGUUCAUAAUUAAGACAAUACAUUAAAAAUAACAUAGUAAGAUACAGCAGUUUGCGACAGUACAGCUGUUUGUACAGCUAAUAUAACUGGAAUGACACCAAAAGCCAGACACAUUAAAUUUACAAAUGGCCGCGCCCCCUCUUACAGAAAAAAAAAAUAAGGGGCAUAUGUUUAUUCAUAUGUUUAUUUAUGUAACGUAAGCGUGUGACUUUUAAUUCGUGACGUGCUUUCAUGGGCGUGCGCGUGGACCGGAUGGAGUUGCCAUGGAAACGGAGCGCAACACUGCAAAUGUCUCGAGGAAACACCCCGUUUCUCGCUGAUUUCACUGUUUUCAGUUUAUAGGAAUGGUUUAAUGUCUUCGAAAAAGUCCGUUAGCGUUUCUACCGUUUUCAGACGAUGUAUCGUCAGGUAUGAUAACUCUUUUGUGCAUUUAUUUAUGAAAGUUUGGGCUUUUAAUCAAAUCUUCAUCUGUAGAUGAUAGCUUUUGACUGUUUUGUUGGUAAUCUUUCAAUGGAUGAUUGGAAAUUGCUUAAUUUAUUUAACCUUAACAUUUACACUUUACUGUUUAUCGAUGACGUCACGUUAUCAAAGAGCGCGAAAAUUGGCAGAAAACUAAAGUUGUUGUGCUCUUUUAUGGUAAACAUAAAAUUGUUCUGCGAUUUAAAGAGUGACAAAAUAAUCCUUCUACAACAGAAGGGAGUGUCCAAGAUUUCAAUAUUUCUGAAGGGAGCUGCUGACAGAGAUGUAGGAAGCGCUGAAAAGGUUAAGUAACCUAAUAUGCAUUUUUUUCACAACAUAUAUCGAAAUGAAUCUGUUAUUUUAUUUAUUUAUUUUUUGCAUCUCACCUGCUCUAGCUUGUUUCCAUCUAAUAAACCUGGAACUGCAGACUAAAUAUUGUUGGCUCUGUGUCAAAUUGCAAAUUAUCUUCUGCUCACCUCUGUAGUAAUUAUUUAAUUAAAAUAUAUAAAAAGAGUAAUAUUGUGAAAUAUUAUUACAAUUUAAAAUAGCUGUUUUCUAUGUGAAUACAUUAUAAACUAAUUUAUUCCUGUGAUUUACAGCUGUAUUUUCAGCAUCAUUCCUCCGGUCUUCAGUGUCACAUGGAUCCCUCAGAAAUGCUGAUUUGCUGCUCAAGAAACUUAUUAUUAGCGUUGAAACAGUUGUGCUGCUUCAUUUUUUUUGUGGAAACUGUGAUGCAUUUUAUUUUUCAGGAUUCACAGAUGAAUACAAAGUUCAAAAGACCUGCAUUUAUGCAUUUAGCAGACGCUUUUAUCCAAAGCGACUUACAGUGCAUUCAUGCUAUCAAUUUUUACAUAUCAUGUGUUCCCAGGGAAUCGAACCCCCAUCCUUGCGCUUGUUGCUUGCUAGCACAGUGCUCUACAAGUUGAGCUACAGGAACACUAUUUGAAACAGAUGAUUUUGAACAAUUUGAUGCAUGUAACACUAACAUUCAAAUGUUUGGAGUCUAUGUAACAAUGAAUCCAACAAAAAACAAUUUCAGCACAUCUGUAUUUUAACAUUGAUCAUAAUCAGAAAUGUUUCUUGAGCAGUAAAUCAUCAUAUUAGAAUGAUUUCUGAAGAUGUGUCACUGAAGACUGGAGUAAUGAUGCUGAAAAUUCAGCUUUGAUCAAAGGAAUAAAUGACAUUUUAACCUGUUAAAUGUCACCCCCGUCCCGAAUACGGGACGCCUACGUUGACUAUACUAUAUUACAAUCAAAUUUAAUCUAAUCUUGACAAACUAUAUAUCGUUGGAAAGGUCUAAGACUCCCAAAUAUAUAUUAUACCAAUAUUUUUUGUUAAAAAUUAUGUAGGAAAAGUAAUAGAUGAAUUUAUGACAAGAGUGCACCCUCAGAAAUCUACAUUACAAAAGGAGCUUUGACCUUUGUUUAAAAAAAAGACUUCCUCGUUGCCUUUUUCUCUAUCACAUUUUAGAAAUCAUCAGAAGUGAUAUAUCACUUGAAAACAUAAAAUCUCAAAAUUCAUCCUUUAAAACCCAUUUUAAAAUCAGACAUUGCAUUACCAUGUAAAUGGCACAUCAAAAUCAUGUUACAAAAUGUUUUCAGUCAUGAAUUAUAACAAUUUAGGUUUGUAUCAUGCACAUUCAAGUCUAUCUUCAAAAACGUGAGUGACAGUUAUCAGGUUAACAUAAUAUUCACAUAGAAAAGAGUUGUUUUGAAUUGUAAUAGUCACAGUGUUACUAUUUUACUGUAAUUUGAUUCAAUAAAUGGAGCCGUGGUGAGCAUAAGAGAUUUUUUUUAUAAAGGCAUAAAAUAUCUUACAGACCCCAAACUCUUGAAUGGUUGUGUAAAUUACAGUUAUGAUGUUCCUCCCAGUUAAAUUUUAUUAAAAUGUAUUAAAUGUUAAUUUGAAAGAGCUGUGUCACAGUAUCAAGGGCUCCCUUAUCAGUUCUGCUUUCAGUACUGGAGAGUAAAAGAUACGUUUUUUUGGUUGAUGUUUUAUGUUUUUAUUAGUACAUAUACGUUAUCUUGCACAUUUUAUCUCCCCAACAGAUUCUAAUUUGAAAGAAGUUUAUAAUGCAUGUUCGCUACUCCCAAUUCAGACUGAGUCAGCCUGUCCCUGACAGCAAGCAGUUUCGGUCCAGAUUCGGCCCACAUCUGGUCCGCAUGGAUUUCAUGCGGGCCAGAUGUGGGCCGGAUCUGGGCCAACACUAUGUUGCUGUCUGGGGUGUAUCUGAAUGUUUCUCAUACUCACUCCUCUCUGCCACGUCUGAAUUUGGGAUUUUCCUUAGCUGUCAGUUAUAAACGUCAAAAUUAAAAGAAAUAAACGUUUGAAAUAUAUCAGUCUGUGUGUAAUUAAUAAAUAUAAUAUACAAGUUUCACUUUUUGAAUGGAAUUAGUGAAAUAAAUCAACUUUUUGAUGAUAUUCUAAUUAUAUGACCAGCACCCGUAUAUCAUUGCUCUUUUGUUGAUUUUGAUUGCUUCCAUUGUCCUCAUUUGUAAGUUGCUUUGGAUAAAAGUGUCUUCUAAAUGUAAAUGUAAUGUUAAUGUGUAUUUAACUAUAUUAAUAAAUAUUUAUUAAUAAUGUAAAUGUAUUUGUUUUAUAUCUAUACAUGCAGUUGUAUUCAUGUAUGUAUAUUUAUUUGUCACAUUUUUAUAUUUUAAUAAAGCAGUUUAGACUACAUGAGUGUUUUUUCUUUAUUCUGGAUGAAUUACAUAUUCUUUUGUGUCUAGAAAGGGUAAAUAUGGGCCAUAUCUAACCCAGAAGUCAGCCACAACUGGGACGGAUCUGGGCCACAUCUCAGAAAUGGCGUGGUUGACAUCUGGGCCAGGUGUGGCUGUCACCCACACCAUUUCUGAGAUGUGGCCCAGAUCUGGUUCAGUUGUGGCUGACAUAUGUCAGCCAGACUCAGGUUGAGUCAUCGCCGUCAUUCCGCGCGGUAUGUGGGCCAGAAGAAUAUGGGAGAUGUGGGCCAGAACUGGGCCACAUGUCAUUUGCUGUCUGGGAAAUAAUCAAUAAAUGUCUAACCAUGAGAUGUCGACCGAGUUUUGAGAGCCCUGGCUCAGCACAGUGGGAGUAUUUGAAGCUUUGUUUAUGAACAUGGCGGUGUGGUCAUACAAUGACUUUAAACCGGACACUACUCUGAGCUGUUCACAUUAUACAAAUGCUCCAGAUAUGUAAUCAGGUCCUCCCUUUUGGAAUGGUAAACAUGACACUAUUCAUCACUCACACAAAUAAAUCACUUAAUAUUUUGAUAAUUUAAUUGGUUUUUGCUGUUAAACCUUUUUUUUUUUUCCAUUGCACUUCAUGUUUUUACAGAUUUGUGCCGAAUUUGAGACAUCCAGAAUUACCAUAGGCCCAUCAGAAUCAACAAUCUUUGCCAAACUUGAUCUGCACUACAAAACUUAUGAAGAUGUUUGCAUACUGAAGAAGAGUCCUUGGACAAAUACUGAAACCCUCUUGGUGCCCACUACACAGUCUCUCGUCAGGAGUUGGUGGUGGCACAAAGGGAGGACCCCAGACUGAAAGAAAUGUUUUCUGAAGUGCUAGCUCCGGAAAAGGUAGAGAGUGCAAUGAGUGGUUGUUAAGAAAAUGGCUAUCUGGUAGGGAAGUACCCAUAGGUGAGCCUUAUGAACAGGUUGUUGUGCCAAUGUCUCUUCGAGAUACUGUGUUGCGUUGGGCACAUGGAGAUGUUGUGGGGCAUCUUGGGGUUAAUAAAACGUACAAUCAUUUGUUGCGUUAUUUUUAUUGGCCACAGUUAAAGGGGGGGUGAAAUGCUAUUUCAUGCAUACUGAGUUUUUUACACUGUUAAAGAGUUGGAUUCCCAUGCUAAACAUGGACAAAGUUUCAAAAAUUAAGUUGUACGUUUGAAGGAGUAUUUUUGUUCCAAAAAUACCUCUUCCGGUUUGUCACAAGUUUCUGAAAGUUUUUUUCGAGUAUGGCUCUGUUAGAUGGAGCGGAAUUUCCUUAUAUGGGUCCUGAGGGCACGUUUGCCGGAAGAGCGCGCGCUCCCAUAUAGCAGAGCAGAGAGAGGCUGUGCACAGACAAUCACUGAUCAGAGCGAGAAUGUUGCGAAAUGUCACAAAAGGAAUGUGUUUUUGGUUGCCAGGGCAAGACAACCCUGCACAGAUUACCAAAGAAAAAACAGCAUUAACCAGUGGAUGGAGUUUAUUUUUACAAAGCAUCAACGGAGUUGUGCAAGUGUUUGUGUUUGUUCCCUGCAUUUCUAAAAUGCUUGUUUUACAAACAAAGCCCAGUUUGACGACGGAUUUGCGUAUCAUUUAUUUCUUAAGGAUGAUGCAAUCCCAACGAAAAAGGGUCACGAUUGUGUGUUGGAACCACAGGCGGUGAGUAAAACUGCUUAAAAUAUCUCUGCCUCCUUGUUAGUGCGUCCGCCUCCCAUCGGAGACCCGGGUUCGAGCCCCGCUAGGAGCGAGUUCUUGCUGCUGCUGCUCUCGUUCAGUUUCAGCCUUCACAGCUGUCACAGCUUCCAAACUCUCUCAACGCAACUGGCGCUCGUGAUUCUUUAGCUCCUCCCACACGUCACGCCUCCAGGCGCUCGUGUUUUUCCGGGAAAAAUCGGUAAAGACUAUCUUUCUCUUAUGAAUACAAUAAAACUAAAUACUUUUUGGAGUUAUGAAGGAUGCAGUACUACUCUAUAGGUACUCAAGAUUAACAUGAUAUUGAGUGAAAACGAGCAUUUCACCCCCCCUUUAAAGAAAGAUGUAAGGAGGUUUAUUAAAACCUGUUCAACCUGUCAGCUUACGGGGAAGCCAAAUCAGUGCCUUAAACCGGCACCGUUAUAUCCCAUACCUGUAAUUGAUACACCGUUUCAACAUCUGAUUAUAGACUGUGUGGGUCCAUUACCUCCAUCUAAGUCAGGAAGUGCAUAUCUUCUUACUGUAAUGUGCCAGAACACUAGAUAUCCAGCUGCCUAUCCGCUUCGUUCAAUCACUACCUGUGCAAUUGUUAAAGCUAUGACACAAUUUAUUUCUGUGUUUGGGAUUCCAAGAGUUAUUCAAAGUGACCAGGGAUCCAAUUUUACUUCGCAUAUGUUUAAGGAAGUGUUGCAGCAACUUGGUGUGAAGCAAAAUCAGUCUAGUGCUUACCAUCCACAAAGUCAAGGGGCUUUGGAACGCUUCCACCAAACUUUGAAGUUGUUGCUGCGGGCUUAUUGUGUGGAGUUAAAGGGUGAUUGGGAGGAGGGGUUGCCCUGGUUAAUGUUGGCAGCUCGUGAGGUGGUUCAGGAUAGUCUGGGUUUUAGUCCCAACCAGUUAGUCUUUGGUCAUAAAGUGGUCAAGACAAGUGGCACUUUUCAGAUUGUGUUGUUUUCAGACCACAAUCCACUUACCUUUUUACAUUCUUUGCAGAGCCCAAAUCAGCGCCUUAUACGCUGGUCUCUUUUUCUGCAGCCUUAUCCAUUAGAGAUUCGACACAUAAGGGGUGUCGAGAAUGUGUUGGCCGAUGCCUUGUCUCGGGCUCCAUGUGAGAAUCUGGAUACCCUGAUUUAAAAACUUGUAUGACUGUGACUGACUUGUUUUCGUAGGUGCCGAGAGUUGCCGUGGUUCCAGUUACAAGUGAGGCCAUUUUGAGAACAUCUGACUAAUGAAAUUGAAGUAUCCAAUGAAGACCCUAGCAGUAUGGAGUAUAUGGAUACAGAGGUUGCCAGCCAUCAGGAGGUGAUCCAGAAGACUCGUGGGAAUCUAUUUGAAGCUGCAUCAUUGAAGACAGUCCAGCAGAUGUUGGAGUUUUAAAGGAUAAAGUUCUUCAGGACCUAUAGCAGUUUACAGUCUGCAAAACCAUGUUUCUGGGACUGAUAUAUGGACUGAACUUGAGCAACCCUCCUGAACUCAGGUACACAUUUGGAAUACUGAAGAAGUUAUUUCUGGAGCCAGUUCCUGUUCCUGGAAUAAGGUUUGAUUGGUUACGCAUGAAUGCCAAUUAGAAAAUGAGUAGUUUGAUAUUUCUGCUAUUUUGUGUAAUUUUGUAACAUGGUUUCAACUGUAUUUAACUGUAAUUAUUUAUUGCUUGUUUAACAAAUACACUUUGAUCAUUUGUGA